rnacentral:rRNA from 1 species
UACAGAGGUCCCGAGCGUUGUUCGGAUUCACUGGGCGUAAAGGGUGCGUAGGUGGUGAGGUAAGUCGGAUGUGAAAUCUCGGAGCUUAACUCCGAAAUGGCAUUGGAAACUACCUUGCUAGAGGGUUGGAGGGGGGACUGGAAUACUUGGUGUAGCAGUGAAAUGCGUAGAUAUCAAGUGGAACACCAGUGGCGAAGGCGAGUCCCUGGACAACUCCUGACACUGAGGCACGAAAGCUAGGGGAGCAAACAGG